rnacentral:lncRNA from 1 species
CGGCAGGUAAAAAUGACAAACAAGAACAGGUUUUUGGACAUUUUUGCAAAAAAAAAAGGUAUUCAGACCCUUUACUCAGAACUUCGUUGAAGCACUUUGGCAGUGAUUACAUCCUCGAGUCUUAUUGGGUAUGAUGCUACAAGCUUGGCACACCUGUGUUUCUCCCAUUCUUCUCUGCAGAUCCCCUCAAGCUCUAUCAGGUUGGAUGGGGAGCGUCGCUGCACAGCUAUUUUCAGGUCUCUCCAGAGUUGUUAGAUCGGGUUCAAGUCCAGGCUCUGGCUGGGCCACUCAAGGACAUUCAGAGACUUAUCCCGAAGCCACUCCUGCAUUGUCUUGGCUGUGUGCUUAGGGUCAUUGUCCUGUUGGAAGGUGAACCUUCGCCCCAGUCUGAGUUCCUGAGUGCUCUGGAGCAGGUUUUCAUCAAGUAUCCCUCUGUACUUUGCUCCAUUCAUCUUUCCCUUUUCUUGUGUCAACAGGUCACAAAUCUUGCUGCUGUGAUGGUACAUUGUGAUAUUUCACCCAAUAGAUAUGGGAGUUUUUCAAAAUUGGAUUUAUUUUCAAAUUCUUUGUGGGUCUGUGUAAUCUGAGGGAAAUAUGUGUCUCUAAUGUGGUCAUACAUUUGGCAGGAGGUUAGGAGGUACAGCUCAGUUUCCACCUAAUUUUGUGGGCAGUGUGCCCAUAGCCUGUCUUCUCUUGAGAGCCAGAUCUGCCUACGGCGGCCUGUUUCAAUAGCAAGGCUAUGCUCACUGAGUCUGUACAUAGUCAAAGCUUUCCUUAAUUUUGAGUCAGUGACAGUGGUCAGGUAUUCUGCCACUGUGUACUCUCUGUUUAGGGCCAAAUAGCAUUCUAGUCUGCUCUGUUUUUUUGUUAUUUCUUUCCAAUGUGUCAAGUAAUUAUCUUUUUGUUUUCUCAUUAUUUGGUUGGGUCUAAUUGUGUUGCUGUCCUGGGGCUCUGUGGGGUCUGUUUGUGUUUGUGAACAGAGCCUCAGGACCAGCUUGCUUAGGGAACUCUUCUCCAGGUUCAUCUCUCUGUAGGUGAUGGCUUUGUUAUGGAAGGUUAGGGAAUUACUUCCUGUUAGGUGGUUGUAGAAUUUAACGGCUCUUGAUUUUGAUAAUUAGCGGGUGUCGGCCUAAUUCUGCUCUGCAUGCAUUAUUUGGUGUUUAACGUUGUACACGGAGGACAGUUUUGCAGAAUUCUGCAUGCAGAGUCUCAAUUUGGUGUUUGUCCCAUUUUGUGAAUUAUUGGUUGGUGAGAGGACCCCAGACUUCACAACCAAAGAGGUCAAUGGGUUCUAUAACUGAUUCAAGUGUUUUUAGUCAGAUCCUAAUUGGGAUGUUACAUUUUGUGUUACUUUUGAUGGCAAAUGAGGCCCUUCUCGUCUUGUCGCUCCGUCACAGCUUUGUGGAAGUUACCUGUGGCGCUGAUGUUUAGGCCGAGGUAUGUAUAGGUUUUUUGUGUGCUCUAGGACGACGGUGUCUAGAUGGAAUUUCUAUUUGUUGUCCUGGCAACUGGACCUUUUUUGGAACAACAUUAUUUUUGUCUUACUGAGAUUUACUGUCAGGGCCCAGGUCUGACAGAAUCUAUCUCUCUCUCUCACACCCACACCCUCACACUGUGUCUCUCUCUUUCACACAGUUUAGAUGGAGGUGGUGCAACAUUGGCUGUAGCCACACCGUGUGGGAGGUGCAGCCAAGCCUGUUCCAAUCAGAAUUGAUUAGCCCUGCUGGUAGGUUUGUAUGUGUAUGUGUGUGUGUGUGUGUGUGAGUGUGUGUGUGUGUUUGGCCUUAUACUCUGCACUCCCUGAAACGUUUUUUGCAAGUUUACAACCUGUAAGAAAUGCACAGGUCUUAAAACAAGGUGAUCCAGUACUUCAUUAACCUGAUGUAUGGUAGAAAAUGUACUUUCCCACUGGGCAAACCUGGGCAAAUCCUGGUUGAAUCAAUGUUGUUUCUAUGUCAUUUCAAUGAAAUUACGCUGAAGCAACGUGGAAUAGAUGUUGAAUUGACACCUGUGCCCAGUGGGUUGCUCUGACGUUGAGACAUUCUGUAGGAGAAGACAGUUUGAUCCAUAGUUGAGAAAUUCUUUAGGUGAGCCCUAGGACCAUGCAUCAGGAUUACCUUGCCUGAUUACUCCUGGCUGUCCCCAGUCCACCUGGUCGUGCUGCUGCUCCAGUUUCAACUGUUCUGCCUGCGGCUAUGGAACCCUGACCUGUUCACCGGACAGGUUGUUUUCGACUCUCUCUACCACACCUGCUGUCUCGACCUCUGAAUGUUCCGCUGUGAAAAGCCAACUGACAUUUACUCCUGAGGUGCUGCCCUGUUGCACCCUCUACAACCACUGUGAUUAUUAUUAUCUGACCCUGCUGGUCAUCUAUGAACGUUUGAACAUCUUGAAGAAUGAUCUGGACUUAAUGACCAUGUACUGUUAUAAUCUUCAACAGGACAGCCAGAAGAGGACUGACCACUCCUCAGAGCUUGGUUCCUUUCUAGGUUUCUUCCUAGGUUCAUGCCUUUCUAGGGAGUUUUUCCUAGCCACCGUGCUUCUACAUCUGCAUUGCUUGUUGUUUGGGGUUUUAGGCUGGGUUUUUGUAUAGCACGUUGCGACAUCUACUGAUGUAAAAAGGGCUUUUUAAAUAAAUGUGAUUAAUUGAUUGAAAAAGGCAUAGAGAGAGAGCGAGAGAGAGACCCUUGCCCAGGGCAUUUCAAUAACAGAUUAUAGACAGAGCCUCCAUUUCGGUAAACACACUCAAUAAUUCAUCCAACACGUUCUGUCUGUGUGUCUGCCUCUGUAUGCUGGUGUUGUAGAGAUAGUUUACUAUGUUCCUCUAGUCAUCUGGAGACUGGUGUUGUAGAGAUGGUUUACUAUGUUCCUCUAGUCAUCUGGAGACUGGUGUUGUAGAGAUGGUUUACUAUGUUCCUCUGUCAUCUGGAGACUGGUGUUGUAGAGAUGGUUUACUAUGUUCCUCUAGUCAUCUGGAGACUGGUGUUGUAGAGAUGGUUUACUAUGUUCCUCUAUCAUCUGGAGACUGGUGUUGUAGAGAUGGUUUACUAUGUUCCUAUAGUCAUCUGGAGACUGGUGUUGUAGAGAUGGUUUACUAUGUUCCUCUAGUCAUCUGGAGACUGGUGUUGUAGAGAUGGUUUACUAUGUUCCUCUAG